CACGUAGGGCGCAAGCGUUGUCCGGAAUUAUUGGGCGUAAAGAGCUCGUAGGCGGUCUGUUGCGUCCGCUGUGAAAACUCGGGGCUUAACCCCGAGCCUGCAGUGGAUACGGGCAGACUAGAGGUAGGUAGGGGAGAAUGGAAUUCCCGGUGCAGUGGUGAAAUGCGUAGAUAUCGGGAGGAACACCAGUGGCGAAGGCGACUACCUGGCCUGUUCUUGACGCUGAGGCGCGAAAGCUAGGGGAGCAAACGGG
rnacentral:rRNA from 1 species